AAGCUUUGGCAGCACAUAUACUAAAACUGGAACAAUACAGAGAAAUUUAGCUUGGUCCCUGCACAAGGAUAGCAUGCAAAUUUGUGAAGUGUUCCAUAUUUUC
ensembl:snRNA U6 U6 spliceosomal RNA